rnacentral:rRNA from 1 species
GCGAACGCUGGCGGCAUGCUUAACCCAUGCAAGUCGCGCGGGUGGUUUCGGCCAUCCGCGGCGGACGGGUGAGUAUCGCGUAGGAAUGUAUCCCGAGGUGGGGGACAACCCUGGGAAACUGGGGCUAAUACCGCAUGGGGCCUGUGGGUCAAAGCCUUAGGGCGCCUUGGGAGCAGCCUGCGUCCGAUUAGGUAGUUGGUGGGGUAAAGGCCUACCAAGCCUGCGAUCGGUAGCUGGUCUGAGAGGACGAUCAGCCACACUGGGACUGAGACACGGCCCAGACUCCUACGGGAGGCAGCAGUGGGGAAUAUUGGACAAUGGGCGCAAGCCUGAUCCAGCAAUGCCGCGUGGGUGAAGAAGGUCUUCGGAUUGUAAAGCCCUUUCGGCGGGGACGAUGAUGACGGUACCCGCAGAAGAAGCCCCGGCUAACUUCGUG